rnacentral:misc_RNA from 1 species
CGGAAAAGGUGAUGGGAGAGGAGGGCAGGACAGAGCAGAAAGAGGUGAACAAAACGCAGUAUGGAAGGGAGAGAAGGUCGGAGAGCGAGAGAGAAAGCGGGCGCGAGGCUCGUCGUCGCCGUCGUCGUUCGUCGCGGUGAAAAUCUCUAAACGAGCAGCGGUUGCCUGACCUGACACAGUACGUAGCAGUCGACAGGGCCGUAUUUUCCAUGUGCUGGAAACUACCAGCGCAAAAUUGAGAGGGCUCGCUGUGGGAGCCAUUUGGAGUUCACUAACCGUGGAAAUGGCACGAGUACUCGAUGCAACGUUGCGACGACGUGACGCCACGGAGCACGUGGAAAAAGGGGCGAAUGCCUUUCGAAGAUGCAUCCCCUCUUGACUGCACUUCAUUUUUCCCUCUUUUAAAAUAUAUUCUUUCCGAGGGAAGUCGCGGCAGCCCGUUUGCGUCUCUAAGUGCCACCGAUCUUACUCCUCGCCCCUGCCUUUAUUUAUUUGUCCUUUUCCCGGGAAGGUUUCUCUUACCUCCGUAUUUUUAUCAAAUUCGCGUUCCAAAACGCUUUCUUAAAAGUGCUUUACGAUGUUGGAUCGGUCUCGCCGGAUCCCUGUAGUAACCUUCCCGACAAUAGUGACAGUGUCUUCCUGCUGUAAAAUGCCGGCACUGCAGACAAACGCCUCCGCUGACACGACCCGACAGCUUGUAUAGUUCCAUGUUGAAUCUGCACUUUCUUGCAUGGAGAUUGCAGUUGCAUUCUGAAACAGAUACACGUCCGAUUAGAUGACUAACCGGUCCUUCCAUUUUGCUGAAGCAAUUUUGCUUUCCGAAACAGUUUAACCUCGUAUUACAAUUAAGUGGACAUUGGA